GACAUGAUGGCUCAGUGGAUAGAGCGCCCGCUUCAUGAACGGGAGGUCGUGGGUUCGAACCCCGGCCGAGUCA
rfam:Strongylocentrotus purpuratus Contig146054_fixed, whole genome shotgun sequence.